rnacentral:rRNA from 1 species
AUGCAAUGCAGGUACAUUUUAGAAGCAAGAGAGUUGCCAAUCCUCUCUAUGAUAGACAGGAUUAAGGCACAACUAACUACUAGGAUGGUUACAAAAAAUGAAGAGAUGUUGAGCUGGACAUCUCCAAUUUGCCCAAAGAUUAAGAAAAGACUAGACAAGAACACAGAAUUAGCUAACACAUGUUAUGCUGAAUUAGCUGGAGAUGGCAUAUAUUCUGUGGAGGACAGAGGGUACACAUUCAUUGUUGAGAUAAAUGUGGAGAGCUGCAGCUGUAGAAGGUGGAAUUUGACAGGAAUACCAUGCCCUCACUCAAUAGCAUGCUUCAGAAGAGAAAGAAAAUCACCAAUUGAGCUAGUGCACAAGUGUUACUCCAUUGAAUCUUACCACAAGGCAUACUCUCAUUUUAUUGUGCCUUGCAAAGAUAGAAGAGAGUGGACAAAGAUGAAUGGAUGUCCUAUUGCACCACCUCUUUAUGUGAAGAAGGUUGGAAAUCCUGGUCAUAAUAGGAGGAGGGCUCCUGAAGAAGUUGCAGAUGGGAGAGGUGGAACCAGAAUGACAAGGCAUGGUGUAGUUAUCCACUGUGGGCACUGCAAACUACCUGGACACAAUAGGCGUUCAUGUUCUGAUCUUAAAGCUGGCAUACCCCCAUAUGUUCCUGCCCCAAAGCAACAUGUCAGGAGAAGGAGCAGGGCAGAACCAACUACUGAAGAAGAUCAAGAGGCAGAACCAAAUGUUCAAGAACAGCAAAGAGGAAGCACCAAAUGUUCAAGAACAGCAAGAGGCACAACAUACACAGGUGUAGGAUAUCAAUGA